GCGUGCUGCUGCACUUGAUGCUUGAGGAGAGGUUGCCCGUGGCCCGUUCGCAUUCUUCAUGUCGCACAAUACACGGUCGGCCUCUCUUCGGUAUCAAAUCCCACCUUGCA
ensembl:miRNA MIR323B microRNA mir-323b